GCCUGGGUGGCUCAGUCGGUUGAGCGUCUGACCUCAGCUCAGGUCGUUUGCGAGUUCGAGCCCUGCAUCAGGCU
rnacentral:tRNA from 1 species